CUUAGACUGCAUCUGAUACUGUAUAGCUUGAGUGUGAGAGAGGAAAGCGGAAUUCCUAGUGUAGCGGUGAAAUGCGUAGAUAUUAGGAGGAACACCAGUGGCGAAGGCGGCUUUCUGGCUCAUAACUGACGCUGAGGCGCGAAAGCGUGGGGAGCAAACAGGAUUAGAUACCCUGGUAGUCCACGCCGUAAACGAUGGGUACUAGGUGUUAGGGGUUUCGAUGCCCUUAGUGCCGGAGUAAACACAAUAAGUACCCCGCCUGGGGAGUACGGUCGCAAGACUGAAACUCAAAGGAAUUGACGGGGGCCCGCACAAGCGGUGGAGCAUGUGGUUUAAUUCGACGCAACGCGAAGAACCUUACCAAGACUUGACAUCCCUCUGACCGGAUCUGUAAUGGAUCUUUCUCUUCGGAGCAGAGGAGACAGGUGGUGCAUGGUUGUCGUCAGCUCGUGUCGUGAGAUGUUGGGUUAAGUCCCGCAACGAGCGCAACCCUUAUUACUAGUUGCCAGCAUUCAGUUGGGCACUCUAGUGAGACUGCCAGUGACAAACUGGAGGAAGGUGGGGAUGACGUCAAAUCAUCAUGCCCCUUAUGUCUUGGGCUACACACGUGCUACAAUGGGUGGUACAAAGGGCAGCGAAGCCGCGAGGUGGAGCCAAUCCCCCAAAGCCACUCCCAGUUCGGAUUGCAGGCUGCAACCCGCCUGCAUGAAGUCGGAAUCGCUAGUAAUCGCAGGUCAGCAUACUGCGGUGAAUACGUUCCCGGGCCUUGUACACACCGCCCGUCACACCACGAAAGUUGGUAACA
rnacentral:rRNA from 1 species